CCUACGGGAGGCAGCAGUGAGGAAUAUUGGUCAAUGGACGAGAGUCUGAACCAGCCAAGUAGCGUGAAGGAUGACUGCCCUAUGGGUUGUAAACUUCUUUUAUAUGGGAAUAAAAUGUGCCACGUGUGGGAUUUUGUAUGUAUCAUAUGAAUAAGGAUCGGCUAACGCUGUGCCAGCAGCCGCGGUAAUACGGAGGAUCCGAGCGUUAUCUGGAUUUAUUGGGUUUAAAGGGAGCGUAGGUGGAUUGUUAAGUCAGUUGUGAAAGUUUGCGGCUCAACCGUGAAAUUGCAGUUGAAACUGGCAGUCUUGAGUGCAGUAGAGGUGGGCGGAAUUCAUGGUGUAGCGGUGAAAUGCUUAGAUAUCACGAAGAACUCCGAUUGCGAAGGCAGUUCACUGGACUGCAACUGACACUGAGGCUCGAAAGUGUGGGUAUCAAACAGGAUUAGAUACCCCAGUAGUC
rnacentral:rRNA from 1 species